CUGUAAAUAACUGAUAGAAUUUCAACAAGACCUACAUGGGGUGUUCAGUAUCAGGUUAAAAAUCAGACAAGCGCUGGGCCCUCAAUAAGAAAGAUGGCACCCCUUGAUAUACUCGAUCCCAAAAGAAACUCACAACUAAAGUAUGGACACGAUCGCUAGAGAUGUGUUAUUGAUGCAUCAUGUGUGCUGACACAGGUCUGUGUGGGUUCCAUCUGUCUGUCUGGCAGUAGUGAACGCUGGUAGGUGGCGUUCACGCAAGUGAGAUGGGAGAUAACUCAUGUUUGACCUAACGACCUUACACAUGGGUGUCCACAACUCGGGCUAUCCUGCACACUUUUUGUCAAUAAGACUGUAGAUCUCAGGGGGUCGAAUCAUGAACUGCAGAUUCUGUGGCUUAUUACCGUAUAUGACCGUAGAUAAGAUGAAUUUUUGAGGUCCAGAAUAAAGAUUCUAUACAAUGGGUACGGCUUAUGUACAGGAUACACUUUCGUGAAAGUAUUUUUCAGAUCCUGAUCUGUCAGAACAUCGUCUGAAGGACAGAAUGGUACAAGUAGAUUACAACUUCUUGAAACUUUGAAAGUUUGACUACAACCAUUAUUGUUAUAGAUGAUCAAUAAAAUUAUUAUCAUACACAAAUGUUGACAUUAUUAAAUAAUUUUAUGCAUGUAACUAUUUUCAAUAAUAAGUUCAAGGUUUAUCACUGUUCAUAAACUCCAUGAUCAUAUAAUUACAACAUUUUUCAUCGUACAUUCAUGAAUACCUGCAAGUAGUCUUACCGUCCAACUUCGUGAUGUGUUGUUGCCUAUCACACCCUGGUCUGACUCAUGUACGGGACAUAUGAUGUACAUGUACCUCAGCCUCAUCUAUGAGAUUGACUUAUCUAUGGGCAUAUACGGUACUGUAGUGAUUAGCAAGCUGAAGUAUUUUCCAAACUGCAUCGUGCACGAUAUAUGUCAACAGGGACAGGUCAUGUAUUGUGAGGUUGACUGGCCAGAGAGAAUAAUGAGGGUCAACAAAAGCAUGACAAGUUUUGUAGAGAGUCUUAAUAAACUGUACUUUUAAAGGGAAGAGAUUGUAUUACAAACUGAAAUGUCCAAAUAUUUGUUUUAUUAAAAUGGUGAUUAGAAUUUGGUAGGAUCAAACCUUCAAUUAGCAAUGGUUGUAUUUGUUGGAAUAAAUAACCAAGGGCCAAUUUCACACAGUAAUCACACAACAUUAUCCCUUUAAGAGACUUAUGGUAAUCGAAGCAUCAUGAUGGGUGUGGGAAACGUCCCAUACUGAUAAACUUUGAUGUUUACAAUUUUGUUUCUUGUACAUAUAUAUAGAGAGAAUGGUGCUCAUGUUAAUUAUUAAACCUUGUUUAAAUUUGAAAGACUUUUACCUUGUUGUUGUACUUCAUAAUUAUUCAAAUAUUUCUAUAAUUUUGAAAUAUAAUUAUCAGAUAUUUCAUUAUUAAUGAUUCAUAUGUAUAUGCAUAACAUGUCCAUUUGCUUGUGAUAUCAUGUACCUUUGUCAUAAUUAUGCUCGUGCAUUCAUUAUGAAAUAUACCUUUGUCAAAAUUAUGCUCGUGCGUUUAUUAUGAAAUGUACCUUUGUCAUAAUUAUGCUCGUGCGUUCAUUAUGAAAUGUACCUUUGUCAUAAUUAUGCUCGUGCAAUUAUUAUGAAAUGUACCUUUGUCAUAAUUAUGCUCAUGCGUUUAUUAUGAAAUGUACCUUUGUCAUAAUUAUGCUCGUGCGAUCAUUAUGCCAUGUACCUUUGCCAUGAUUAUGCUUGUGCGUUCAUUAUGCAACAUACAUUAACAAUGACUAUGCUGGUGCGUUGAUUAUGCCAGCAUGUGCUACUUGCAUUACCUUGUUUAGACACUGUUCUGCUACCAGGAAUGUGAAAUACAUGCUUAGAGGAGCAAGGGUGUGAGAGAGAGAGUGAUUUGUGAAAGCCGUUUUUGACAGUAUUUUCGUUACAGCUUGUCAACCUGACCGUGUUACCGUGUGAGGCAAGGCCAAUGUGACACAGGUUGUAGACAUGAGCCCUGGUAUGGUGCUAACAAACUAAGGAUGAUAAUCAGGCUGAAUCUUGGAUUCAAACUCAUGACCAACACAUCCCAGCCAUUAAGGGAGACAACUCUGCACAACCACAGAUACGUGUUCCUCAUGUAGAAAGGUGGUAAGGGCGAGGAAUUGCCACGUGAUCCAAACUCACCCAGUAAUAAGAUGAACAUGGUGUGCUUCAUAUAUAAAAGGGUUAUACAUAUAUUUCCAGAAAGAAGUUACCAAUCUCAGCCGUAGUCGUAGAACAUAACCAAAUUCAAGAUGAAUGGUAUUGACUUCAAAUAUUAAUAUGUAUUUGUACUGUGUACCAGCUGAAUUGACAAGUGUUAUUUAUUCAUCUGAAGACAUGCAUGCAUUCUGAAACAAUUUCACAUCACGUGUCCACAUUUGAGUGGCUACAAGAAAAUUGACUUUUCAUUGUUUUUGCCCAAGAGGGAGAAGAGAGCGUUUGAUGCACUUUUAGUGCUGCUAUCCCUUUGAUAAAAAAAAUCCUAGAAAGUCUGUGUAUUGAAGAAUAAAAAGCAGUGUCUUAAGUUCAACUAACAGUGACAGUGUUACUGUUAUAUGAAUCUCUCUGAAACGACAGUACUCCCACGAUUCUUCUGAUUCUUUACUUUCUGUUUCGUGUAACCAUGGUAACAGUAUUGGAUCCUAUCUUGUGUCCUCUGUUGGGAUUCCCAGGCAGAAUUAGCCAGUACUCUUUAUAAGAGGUGACUAAAGUGAGCUGUAGGUUGUCAUAUCCUGACUGCAUGGAUCGUUGUUCAUGUUGUCAACCACCUGUUUGCCAAACCCAGAUUUGAUUAUUUACAGAUCACUAUGAAAUGACUGUUAAUUGUUUUCUGUAGCAUAUAACAUUCACACACUAAUCCUCUCAUGUGUAACCAUGGUAAUAUGACUGGAUCCUGUCUCAUGGGUAAACAUAGUAACAUGACUGGAUCCAACAUAGGUGUAACCAUGGCAACAUGAUUGGAUCCCACCUCAUUUGUAAUCAGGAAUGUCCAGACAUAGCCCAUCCUCUUUAUUCCUUUACAUUUUAACAAAUCCUGAAGUUUUAUAUCUGCAUGUCAUCUCAUCAUACUUGAUCCCCCAUCAAGUUGGAUUCAUUAUGUUAAUAUUACCCAGUGUGCAGCGAUUUCCUCUGUACUGUCAACUAUCCGUGAACAUGUUCAGGUUGUCUCCGCAGGUGAACAUGUGUUCAGUGUGUGAGUCUCUGCAGGUGAACAUGUGUUCAGUGUGAGUCUCUGCAGGUGAACAUGUGUUCAGUGUGUGUUGGCAGGUGAACAUGUGUUCAGUGUGUGAGUCUCUGCAUGUAGAAGUUGUGUUCAGUGUGUGAGUCCCUGCAGGUAGAACGUGUGUUCAAUGUGUGUCGGCAGGUGAACAUGUGUUGAAAAUGUGAGUCUCUGCAGGUGAACAUGUGUUCAGGUUGUCUCUGCAGGUGAAUAUGUGUUCAGCGUGUGAGUCUCUGCAGGUGAACAUGUGUUCAGUGUGUGAGUCUCUGCAGGUGAACAUGUGUUCAGUGUGUGAGUCUCUGCAGGUAGAACAUAUGUUCAGUGUGUGAGUCUCUGCAGGUAGAACAUGUGUUCAGCGUGUGAGUCUCUGCAGGUAGAACAUGUGUUCAGUGUGUGAGUCUCUGCAGGUAGAACAUGUGUUCAGUGUGAGUCUCUGCAGGUAGAACAUGUGUUCAGUGUGUGAGUCUCUGCAGGUAGAACAUGUGUUCAGUGUGUGAGUCUCUGCAGGUGAACAUGUGUUCAGUGUGAAGUCUCUGCAGGUAGAACAUGUGUUCAGUGUGGGAGUCUCUGCAGGUGAAAGUGUGUUCAGUGUGGGAGUCUCUGCAGGUGAAAGUGUGUUCAGUAGGAGGCUCUGCAGGUAGAACAUGUGUUCAGUAGGAGACUCUGCAGGUAGAACAUGUGUUCAGUGUGUGUCGGCAGGUGAACAUGUGUUCAGUGUGUGAGUCUCUGCAGGUAGAACAUGUGUUCAGUGUGUGAGUCUCUGCAGGUAGAACAUGUGUUCAGUGUGAGUCUCUGCAGGUAGAACAUGUGUUCAGUGGAGUCUCUGCAGGUGAACAUGUGUUCAGUGUGUGAGUCUCUGCAGGUGAACAUGUGUUCAGUGUGUGAGUCUCUGCAGGUAGAACAUAUGUUCAGUGUGUGAGUCUCUGCAGGUAGAACAUGUGUUCAGCGUGUGAGUCUCUGCAGGUAGAACAUGUGUUCAGUGUGUGAGUCUCUGCAGGUAGAACAUGUGUUCAGUGUGAGUCUCUGCAGGUAGAACAUGUGUUCAGUGUGUGAGUCUCUGCAGGUAGAACAUGUGUUCAGUGUGUGAGUCUCUGCAGGUGAACAUGUGUUCAGUGUGGAGUCUCUGCAGGUAGAACAUGUGUUCAGUGUGUGAGUCUCUGCAGGUAGAACAUGUGUUCAGUGUGAGUCUCUGCAGGUAGAACAUGUGUUCAGUGGAGUCUCUGCAGGUGAACAUGUGUUCAGUGUGGGACUCUCUGCAGGUGAACAUGUGUUCAGUAGGAGACUCUGCAGGUAGAACAUGUGUUCAGUGGAGUCUCUGCAGGUGAACAUGUGUUCAGUGUGGGAGUCUCUGCAAGUGAACAUGUGUUCAGUUGGAGACUCUGCAGGUAGAACAUGUGUUCAGUGUGUGAGUCUCUGCAGGUAGAACAUGUGUUCAGUGUGUGUCGGCAGGUAAACGUGUUCAGUGUGUGAGUCUCUGCAGGUAGAACAUGUGUUCAGUGGAGUCUCUGCAGGUGAACAUGUGUUCAGUGUGUGAGUCUCUGCAGGUGAACAUGUGUUCAGUGUGUGUCGGCAGGUAAACGUGUUCAGUGUGUGAGUCUCUGCAGGUAGAACAUGUGUUCAGUGGAGUCUCUGCAGGUGAACAUGUGUUCAGUGUGGGACUCUCUGCAGGUGAACAUGUGUUCAGUAGGAGACUCUGCAGGUAGAACAUGUGUUCAGUGGAGUCUCUGCAGGUGAACAUGUGUUCAGUGUGGGAGUCUCUGCAAGUGAACAUGUGUUCAGUUGGAGACUCUGCAGGUAGAACAUGUGUUCAGUGGAGUUUCUGCAGGUAGAACAUGUGUUCAGUGGAGUCUCUGCAGGUGUUGUGUGUGAUUCUAGGUAAUACAUUCUUCAAUCUGUUGAUCAGCCCAGGUAGGAUUCUACUUGUGUGUAUUGUGAUGCAACAUGAAACAUUUCAGUCUGUCUCUAUUUGACAUCUUGCAUAUCUAUCAGCUGUUCAUUUGCAAAGAGAAAUUUGCAAAAGGUGUGAUGACAAUUUUAGUAAAAUGUUCCAGAUUA
rnacentral:lncRNA from 1 species